rnacentral:rRNA from 1 species
CCAAGGAGUCUAGCAUGUGCGCGAGUCAUUGGGACCCUAACGAAACCUAAAGGCGCAAUGAAAGUGAAGGUUCGCCACGCGCGAACCGAGGGAGGAUGGACGGUCGAUCGUGGCCGUCCCGCACUCCCUGGGCGUCUCGUUCUCAUCGCGAGAAGAGGCGCACCAAGAGCGUACACGCUGGGACCCGAAAGAUGGUGAACUAUGCCUGGUCAGGACGAAGUCAGGGGAAACCCUGAUGGAGGUCCGUAGCGAUUCUGACGUGCAAAUCGAUCGUCGGAACUGGGUAUAGGGGCGAAAGACUAAUCGAACCAUCUAGUAGCUGGUUCCCUCCGAAGUUUCCCUCAGGAUAGCUGGCGCUCGCUUCUGGCGAGUCUCAUUCGGUAAAGCGAAUGAUUAGAGGCAUUGGGGUCGAAACGGCCUCAACCUAUUCUCAAACUUUAAAUGGGUGAGAUCUCCGGCUUGCUUGAAC